AGAGUUUGAUCCUGGCUCAGAUUGAACGCUGGCGGCAUGCUUUACACAUGCAAGUCGAGCGGCAGCGCGGGGGCAACCCUGGCGGCGAGCGGCGAACGGGUGAGGAAUACAUCGGAACGUACCCCGGAGUGGGGGAUAACGCCGCGAAAGCGGCGCUAAUACCGCAUAUGCUCUGAGGAGGAAAGUGGGGGACCCGCAAG
rnacentral:rRNA from 1 species